rnacentral:rRNA from 1 species
GAUGAACGCUAGCGGCAGGCUUAACACAUGCAAGUCGAGGGGCAGCGAGUAGAUUGCUUGCAAUCUAUGUCGGCGACCGGCGCACGGGUGCGUAACGCGUAUGCAACCUACCCAUUACAGGGGGAUAACACUGAGAAAUCGGUACUAAUACCCCAUAACAUCCAGGGAGGCAUCUUCUUGGGUUGAAAACUCCGGUGGUAAUGGAUGGGCAUGCGUUGUAUUAGUUAGUUGGUGGGGUAACGGCUCACCAAGACUACGAUACAUAGGGGGACUGAGAGGUUAACCCCCCACAUUGGUACUGAGACACGGACCAA